rfam:Duck coronavirus isolate DK/GD/27/2014, complete genome.
AUUUCCUGCAUGCCUAUCGCCAGGGAAAUGUCUAAUCUGUCUAAUGAGUAGCCUGGAAACGAAAGUUAGACCCUUAGAUUUUAAUUUAGUUUGUUAGUUUAGUUUAGGUUAGUUUUAGAGUUGUUAGAAAGAUGCCAGUGCCGGGGCCACGCGGAGUACGAUCGAGGGUACAGCACUGAGCCGCCCGUCUGAUUACGGGAGGAGCUAAAUUUGUUUAAGUUAAGUUUAAUUGGCUAAGUAAAGUUAGAAUCAAUAGGCUAGUAUAGAGUUAGAGC